UUGAUCAGUUUGUCUGUCAGUUGUUCAGCUUUAGCAUUGGUCGAUAUUACCCAGUUGAAGAGAUGCAUUUUCCACAUAAAUUCGUAGAAUUCUUGCAGAAAUAGAGCAUUGGUGGUUCAGUGGUAGAAUUCUCGCCUGCCACGCGGGAGACCCGGGUCCGAUUCCUGGCCAAUGCAGCAGAGGUCGCCUUUUAACGCCAUGUUAGUCGUUCUUCAUAAGCGGCAGCUGUCCCCAGAGCCAUGAGCACAGCGCAGCUUCACUCACUGGUGGUUGGGUGGCAGAGUUGUUGUUUCCCGCGCAGGGGACCCAGGUUCGAUUCCCAGCAAAAGCAAAGCAGUGUAUCUUGCUACUUUAGAAGUGGGCAACUUAUCAGUGUUUUACAGGGAACUAGUGGAAGCACUCUAGACCACGCUUUUCCAUGCUUGUUCAACGAAGUACACGCAAUUAUGGCUCAUGCACCUGUGAAAAACUACUGAAGGCAAUAAAAAGGCUGCAGGCAAGAAAGGUCAGGCUUAAAGAAACCAAUGAGAGUAAACUGACCUGUUUGUUGUCUCUAAAAAACACCAGAAGAAAAAUGUCCAGGGUCAAUGCCGACCUGCAUGAAAGUGGAAUAAACUGCAAGGUAAGUAAUGUAAGAUCCCCAAGACAGCGCUACAAGGUCACCGUUGGACAGUGGCUUGUUGGAAGAGCAGGGUAAUGACUCCCAGCAAGAACUGACAAAUCUGGUGCAGUCCAGGAGGCUGAGGUGCCCUGUGGUUCUUAAGGGAGCUGGUGGCCACAGAAGUUAACGCCUCUCACUUUUGAUAUUGACCUCCCCCACUCCCCUUUGCUCAGAGACACUUUUGCUCAUAUCAGUUCAUCAAAUACCCAUGGAACUUGAUCAGUUUGUCUGUCAGUUGUUCAACUUUAGCAUUGGUCGAUAUUACCCAGUUGAAGAGAUGUAUUUUCCACAUAAAUCCGUAGAAUUCCUGCGGAAAUAGAGCAUUGGUGGUUCAGUGGUAGAAUUCUCGCCUGCCACGCGGGAGACCCGGGUCCGAUUCCCGGCCAAUGCAGCAGAGGUCGCCUUUUAACGCCAUGUUAGUCGUUCUUCAUAAGCGGCAGCUGUCCCCAGAGCCAUGAGCACAGCGCAGCUUCACUCACUGGUGGUUGAGUGGCAGAGUUGUUGUUUCCCGCGCAGGGGACCCAGGUUCGAUUCCCAGCAAAAGCAAAGCAGUGUAUCUUGCUACUUUAGAAGUGGGCAACUUAUCAGUGUUUUACAGGGAACUAGUGGAAGCACUCUAGACCACGCUUUUCCAUGCUUGUUCAACGAAGUACACGCAAUUAUGGCUCAUGCACCUGUGAAAAACUACUGAAGGCAAUAAAAAGGCUGCAGGCAAGAAAGGUCAGGCUUAAAGAAACCAAUGAGAGUAAACUGACCUGUUUGUUGUCUCUAAAAAACACCAGAAGAAAAAUGUCCAGGGUCAAUGCCGACCUGCAUGAAAGUGGAAUAAACUGCAAGGUAAGUAAUGUAAGAUCCCCAAGACAGCGCUACAAGGUCACCGUUGGACAGUGGCUUGUUGGAAGAGCAGGGUAAUGACUCCCAGCAAGAACUGACAAAUCUGGUGCAGUCCAGGAGGCUGAGGUGCCCUGUGGUUCUUAAGGGAGCUGGUGGCCACAGAAGUUAACGCCUCUCACUUUUGAUAUUGACCUCCCCCACUCCCCUUUGCUCAGAGACACUUUUGCUCAUAUCAGUUCAUCAAAUACCCAUGGAACUUGAUCAGUUUGUCUGUCAGUUGUUCAACUUUAGCAUUGGUCGAUAUUACCCAGUUGAAGAGAUGUAUUUUCCACAUAAAUCCGUAGAAUUCCUGCAGAAAUAGAGCAUUGGUGGUUCAGUGGUAGAAUUCUCGCCUGCCACGCGGGAGACCCGGGUCCGAUUCCCGGCCAAUGCAGCAGAGGUCGCCUUUUAACGCCAUGUUAGUCGUUCUUCAUAAGCGGCAGCUGUCCCCAGAGCCAUGAGCACAGCGCAGCUUCACUCACUGGUGGUUGAGUGGCAGAGUUGUUGUUUCCCGCGCAGGGGACCCAGGUUCGAUUCCCAGCAAAAGCAAAGCAGUGUGUCUUGCUACUUUAGAAGUGGGCAACUUAUCAGUGUUUUACAGGGAACUAGUGGAAGCACUCUAGACCACGCUUUUCCAUGCUUGUUCAACGAAGUACACGCAAUUAUGGCUCAUGCACCUGUGAAAAACUACUGAAGGCAAUAAAAAGGCUGCAGGCAAGAAAGGUCAGGCUUAAAGAAACCAAUGAGAGUAAACUGACCUGUUUGUUGUCUCUAAAAAACACCAGAAGAAAAAUGUCCAGGGUCAAUGCCGACCUGCAUGAAAGUGGAAUAAACUGCAAGGUAAGUAAUGUAAGAUCCCCAAGACAGCGCUACAAGGUCACCGUUGGACAGUGGCUUGUUGGAAGAGCAGGGUAAUGACUCCCAGCAAGAACUGACAAAUCUGGUGCAGUCCAGGAGGCUGAGGUGCCCUGUGGUUCUUAAGGGAGCUGGUGGCCACAGAAGUUAACGCCUCUCACUUUUGAUAUUGACCUCCCCCACUCCCCUUUGCUCAGAGACACUUUUGCUCAUAUCAGUUCAUCAAAUACCCAUGGAACUUGAUCAGUUUGUCUGUCAGUUGUUCAACUUUAGCAUUGGUCGAUAUUACCCAGUUGAAGAGAUGUAUUUUCCACAUAAAUCCGUAGAAUUCCUGCGGAAAUAGAGCAUGGGUGGUUCAGUGGUAGAAUUCUUGCCUGCCACGCGGGAGACCCGGGUCCGAUUCCCGGCCAAUGCAGCAGAGGUCGCCUUUUAACGCCAUGUUAGUCGUUCUUCAUAAGCGGCAGCUGUCCCCAGAGCCAUGAGCACAGCGCAGCUUCACUCACUGGUGGUUGAGUGGCAGAGUUGUUGUUUCCCGCGCAGGGGACCCAGGUUCGAUUCCCAGCAGAAGCAAAGCAGUGUAUCUUGCUACUUUAGAAGUGGGCAACUUAUCAGUGUUUUACAGGGAACUAGUGGAAGCACUCUAGACAAUGAUUUUCCAUGCUUGUUCAACGAAGUACAAGCAAUUAUGGCUCAUGCACCUGUGAAAAACUCCUGAAGGCAAUAAAAAGGCUGCAGGCAAGAAAGGUCAUGCUUAAAGAAACCAAUGAGAGUAAACUGACCUGUUUGU